rnacentral:tRNA from 1 species
GGAGAGGUGGCUGAGUGGUCGAAAGCGGCGGUCUUGAAAACCGUUGUACCGUGAGGUACCCAGGGUUCGAAUCCCUGCCUCUCCGCCA